CACCACGUAUACAAACCAAUCAGAGGCAGCUUAGGGCGGGUCAUUGCGUCUCUAUCCUAUGAAGAACAACCUAACUCUAUGGCGGAGAAAUCGAAAAGUAAACGUGAAACGUCUGUGUCAGCGCCUCAAUAAUGCCGUGACUGACAUUUUCAUCUGAAGCGGGAGGUCAAACGAGGAUCUGACUGUGGAUGUGGGAUACUGGUUUAAAGGAAGCACCAAUCGUAAAGGUUACCUGACAGAAUUCUGUGAGCUCCAUGGAAGCGAGUAUUUGGAAAUACUUAUGCACGUUUCCAUUCGAUGGUUGAGUCUGGAGAGGUGUUUGACUCGUACCCUGCAGCAGUAUG